rnacentral:misc_RNA from 1 species
GAUGAAGAACGUAGCGAAAUGCGAUACUUGGUGUGAAUUGCAGAAUCCCGUGAACCAUCGAGUCUUUGAACGCAAGUUGCGCCUCAAGCCAUUAGGUUGAGGGCACGUCUGCCUGGGCGUCACAUAUCGUUGCCUGAUGCCAGCUUCCUCGUGAUGGGUGACUGUGCAGGGCGAAUGAUGGCUUCCCGUGAGCAUUGUUGCCUCAUGGUUGGUUGAAAAUUGAGUCCUUGGUAGGGAGCGCCGUGAUAGAUGGUGGUUGAGUGACGAACGAGACCCAAUCAUGUGAGACCCCUACCGAAUUUGGCCUUCAUGACCCACAUGCGUCUUUGGAACGCUCAUGACGAGACCUCAGGUCAGGCGGGGCUACCCGCUGAGUUUAAGCAUAUCAAUAAGCGGAGGA